UCUGUAAGCCGUUGAAGGUGCAUUGUAAAGUGUGCUGGAGGUAUCAGAAGUGCGAAUGCUGACAUGAGUAACGAUAAAGGGAGUGAAAAACUCCCUCGCCGGAAGAUCAAGGGUUCCUGUCCAACGUUAAUCGGGGCAGGGUAAGUCGACCCCUAAGGCGAGGCCGAAAGGCGUAGUCGAUGGGAAACGGGUUAAUAUUCCCGUACUUCUUAUAAUUGCGAUGGAGGGACGGAGAAGGCUAGGUGAGCCUGGCGACGGUUGUCCAGGUCCAAGUAUGUAGGCUGAUGAAUUAGGCAAAUCCGGUUCAUCUUAAGGCUGAGAUACGAUGUCGAGCUACUACGGUAGUGAAGUCAUUGAUGCCAUGCUUCCGGGAAAAGCUUCUAAGCUUCAGAUUAUAAGAAAUCGUACCCCAAACCGACACAGGUGAUCAGGUAGAGAAUACCAAGGCGCUUGAGAGAACUCGGGUGAAGGAACUAGGCAAAAUGGUACCGUAACUUCGGGAGAAGGUACGCUCCUAGCGGUGAUGAGACUUGCU
rnacentral:rRNA from 1 species